rnacentral:tRNA from 1 species
GUGGCUGAAUGGUAAAGCGCUUGGCUUCCGAACAGUGGGUUCUGGGUUUGAAUCCUUGC